GAAGGAUGUAGAGAGGGAUGCUGAACUGCAUUCUCUUAAUAUCUUCUUCUUGAGCCGUAAUUUUCACGGGGAUCAAAUUGAUGUUAAGUAGGGAGAUUGGAUAUGUAAAAGGUCCACCAUGCAAGGAUUUUGGAUGUCAAGUGGAUGGUCACCCAAAGAAUGAUUGUCUAUGAUGAACAGUAACACGAUGAGGAAUGGAAACUCAUUCUUGAAUGGAACACAUAACAAUGGAAUGCAGAAUAAAUUUUUUUUCUUGAAGAAUAAAACGUUAAAAAGAGAGUGAUUCUUAAAGAAUAGAAUGCACAAUUGAAGCUACUAUUUGAAGAACAUCAUGCAGAAUACCAGAAUAUUAAUUUAGAUCAGAAAGGUUAAUUUUCAAAAAUGUAAUUUGUAUUUUUAAAUUUUGAUUUGAAAAUUUAGUAGAAUUUGGUUUGUAUCCAUUAUAUAUGCA